UGAAAGCGUAAAUGGAAUUGAUGUGAGGGCGUGUUUAGAACCGAGCCAUAUUUAAAAGGUGAUGCACUGGCUGUUGCGGUGGCGGCGGCCCCCAGGUGGGGGACGCUGGAGUCGCCAGGGACGGUCAUUCCUCCCUCCUCCACGGUGGAUCCCACACCAUAUCUGUUUGGGUGCUCUCCGCUCACCCCGAGCAAGUCAUGGUGCCCCGCGCGCGCGGCCGAGGAGUGUGGAGUGGACAGUUGGAGAGCCCGAGACAUGCGUGCCGUUCCCUCGGCACUCGGCAGUCAGCACCGUCUCGUCUGGGCGCUCUCCGCUGUCCGCUCCGCGUUCAUUCCGCGCUCCUUUAAGCUGGGCUGCUGGCACUUGGCAGCACCAGCCGCCGCGCCCAACCCCUCCUCCCAGAUUCCAGCGCCCUGGCCUUGGCCUGCGCCGCGCUGCCCGGAUCGGGACAGCUGCCUGCACCUGCGCCCGCGCGGCUCUGCUGCCAAGUAUAAAUGGCAAGCAGGAGCUCGAUCACACAUCAGACCGGGGGAGAGAGAAUGGGAAUAAAGACCGCACCAGCCUCGGCCACACAUCCACUGCCUAGCUGCAUCUGCAUCCCAUCUUCAGGAUUCCCUUGAUCCUCCUUUUCAUGGAAGAGACAUGCAGCUAUGCUGCGUUUGCCCAAACAAAGAAGAAGGGGUAAAAAGGAAGCCUCGGUACCCUUGUAUCGAGCUGGUACAAUGCUCCUUUACUUGUCACUAUCGCUAACCACAUAUAUACACUGAAAUUGCCAAGGGUGGUAUUUAUAGGCCCUGCUGAUUGCUGAAUCUUAGCGACAGAGAGCAGAGAAAAGUAUGAGAGCGAAAGACAGCAGAGAAAGUAUCGGAGGCACCCACAUUGCAGGACUGGCCAGUGUGGUGAUCCUUUUGUGAAAAAGAGUGAGCAAAUCCCCUGCACGUAGACCUAACCUUUUUUAUGUUUGGACUGAUGAGGAUCAUACAAGUUUCGCGAGUGAUCAGGUCCAGGAGCAGGCCACAGAGGCCUCGUCGUCUGUCCAGAUGGAGGAGAUCUUCUUCACCUGGUUCCCUUGGUUUCGGUAGUGCUCACCAGCUGUGCUCAUUUGUUAGUUAUUGAUCUCUUGCCAAGUUCUUGCUGGGUACAUCCCUCUUGCUGUCGUUGCCAUGUGUUGCUCAGCUCAAGUGGACUCGUCUCUCCUCCAGAUAAUGCUUGUUUUCUUGCAGGGUUGGCGCUGGGGGAGCCGAAUCAGCAGCAAGUGGAUGCAUCAGUCCUGAAAAUAGGGAUUUCCGGUUUUGACUGCUGAAGCUGACAAAACUGCUCUUUUUGGGGUGACUCUAGUCAUGCCUUUUGGCACAUGCAGGACAGCUGAACUGGAGACCUUUUAGUAUAAUAACGGAAAACAUUUCGGUCCUGCAGCACAUGCAACCCUUGUCGUACCAGUGGCUGACCUGGUUCAAUGGUACAGUGGCAACAGGGCCAGAUGAUUAUGGCCACUGGCCUCAUGAUCUCUAAUCAGUAAUCACACGUGCUGAGAUGGGCCGGAUGCACUCCAUUAUUGAUCCCUGGUGCAGAAGAAAACUCCGAUAUCCAUCCAGGUUCAAGAUGCUCGCACGUGUUUGUUAGCAGGCUAUGUGUUUGAGAUUUUGCUUCGGCUUUAGUUGCUUAGAACAUCUGCUAUUUUCUUAAAGUCUUGAUUUGCUUA